CAAUUGAUGCUGGCGGGCGCUGGCUGCUGGCGGUUGAGCUCCGGCUGUGGCUCAGUGGAUGGGGCGCGGUUCUUUGCCAACACCUAUUGCCAAAAAGGAGGGACAAAAAAAACUAAAAUCAACCAGCUUGUGGAUGGACAAAUACAGCGGGUUCCUGGUUCUAAUGGCGACUGUUCCGGAUAAAUGUCAAUGGAGUCCCCGGUUAUUGUGAUCCUGGUGGCAACCUCUGCGGCCAAUAGGGUCCCUUUUAGGUUCUCAUUUGUCCGUCCCUCCGUCUAGUCUUUGGGGUUUUCUGAUGUGCUGCUUUCUCAGCAUCGUAAGGUCAACAUUGGCUGAUGGGCAAGGAAAUAUCCUCUACUAUCCAUUACCUAACCUAACUAUGAGCUCAUGCUUAGGUUACCCUACCUAAUUUCCUUUUUUUCUCUUUUUUUUACAGAAAAACCUUUUUUUAACAAAAAUAAAUCCGUCGAGAGUCAACCGUCUGUAUGCCUGUCUGUUUAUGGUCAGAGAAACUUUUUGGACUACCUUAUGGACACUGGGGUAUGCGACAGCGUCUAGGUCCCUCGGUGGAGUAGCGACAGGAGUUGCCAAUGCCAAUUGCAGCAGCUGAAGUCUUUUAUACGUGUGGCAGUGGAGAUGGAGGAGUCUUGACUUUCGCUUUUAUUUUUAGACUUAAGUUUUUAGCUUUAAAUUUUACAUUAUAUGAUUUGAUUUCUUUUCUAUUUCUUUUCAGAAUUUCGCCUUAUAUUUGUAACUUUUUCUAUAGCUUUAAGAUGUUCACUAAAACUUUACAUUUGUUUUAAAUUAUUUCUUUAGUUUUCACCACUUUGUUUAUUCUGUGACACCGCUCAAUAAACACAUUAAAUUUUUCUUUUGUUAAUUCACUUGUGUUUAAUUUUUUUUUAUAUUUACUGAUGGCUCCACCUCCGUUUGCUGCCAAGAUCCAAUCGAAAAAGAACUUGUCAUCCUCCACAUACUGACCAUCAUGGUUCCCCCAAGCCAUCAUGUCCACCGAGGAACCAUCAUGAAAUUUGCUUUUCCAAAAUAGCAAAAACAAAAAACAUAUGUUUCUUUGAAGUGUCGUUGUAGUGGUCACAUUUGUAUGUGGAGGUAACAUAUGGUGGUAGCGCAGGGUUGUAUUCCCUAGUUGCCAUAAAAACGUGACUGUUCAAAACCAGAUGUCGCUCUACUCCAAUCAGACAUAGGGUGAC